UACGGGGGGGUGCGAGCGUUGUCCGGAAUCACUGGGCGUAAAGGGCGCGUAGGUGGUUUGAUAAGGGUGUGGUGAAAGUCCGGGGCUCAACCCCCGGAUCUGCCGUGCCGACUGUCAAACUCGAGGACUGUAGAGGCAGACGGAAUUCCGGGUGUAGCGGUGGAAUGCGUAGAGAUCCGGAGGAAGACCGGUGGCGAAGGCGGUCUGCUGGGCAGUUUCUGACACUGAGGCGCGACAGCGUGGGGAGCAAACAGG
rnacentral:rRNA from 1 species